rnacentral:rRNA from 1 species
UGGGGGAUAUUGCGCAAUGGGCGAAAGCCUGACGCAGCGACGCCGCGUGGGUGAUGAAGGCCUUCGGGUCGUAAAGCCCUGUCGAGGGGGACGAACCGGUCGAGGUCGAAUAGGCCUCGGCCCUGACGGUACCCCUAAAGGAAGCACCGGCUAACUCCGUGCCAGCAGCCGCGGUAAUACGGAGGGUGCGAGCGUUGUUCGGAAUCACUGGGCGUAAAGCGCGUGUAGGCGGCUCAGUAAGUCUGGUGUGAAAGCCCGGGGCUCACCCCCGGAAGUGCACUGGAAACUGCGGAGCUCGAGUCCCGGAGAGGAGAGUGGAAUUCCUGGUGUAGCGGUGAAAUGCGUAGAUAUCAGGAGGAACACCGGUGGCGAAGGCGGCUCUCUGGACGGUGACUGACGCUGAGACGCGAAAGCGUGGGUAGCAAACAGGAUUAGAUACCCCCGUAGUCC